GAUGCUGCCUGAUAUUUAAUUCCACACCAAGAAGUUUCAUUGUCUCUUAUGAAAAUUAACGCGAUUCACACUUUGGCAUGAUUUAGAUAUUAACGAUGAUGUUUAAAAAAUCAUCGAUAAGCUCGCAAUGAGCUGUACUGUGUACCUUGUGGAUUCUAAUAGUGCACGUCGCCACCGCUAGAUGGCAGGCGCCUUGACUAUUGUCGUCAGUCGUGUAACUCGCCAGGAAAACGGCCGAGUUGCGUCAAACCGUCGUGAAAUCUUUUGUCGAAGGUGAUGACCCAGCAACGGUAAUCGACGAGCUUCGGUACUCAGGACUACGAACUCGAACACUUGAUUGCUCCGGAGUGACUGCGUGGAUCUUAAUGAAUUUGAGCGUGACUCGAACUUAUUGGGGUACUGACUCGCUCACAAGUCUAACUUGGGUAUCGUAAAACGAUCGACAACGGCGCGCCGAAAUGUACAAAAGUGUUUCUCUAUUCCUUUACUAAGUACUCGAUAUGAUUUAGGAUGGUACUAAUAAUCAAAUACAAUCGACACGGAUAUUAUAUAUCAAGUAUUUGAUAAUUAUUCUUUGGAAUUACACGCGUAUGCGUAAGAUCGGUUAGACUGCCGAAAGGAAUUGUCGUUCGCACUGAUCAGCUGAUCCUGACAAAUCGCUCAGCAGACAAUACGCAAGUUGUACAAUGAUACAUUUUUAUUGAUGGACGUAUAGAUUUGGAAGGUAUAUAGGACUAUUCUAAUUUGUCGAGGAUUGGUUUUUGGGCUUCGUAUAUAGAACGGCAGGAUUUUGUUGUUGAUUCUUGUUCCUCCUCUGUGUACAAAUGACGUAUAUAAGACUGAACGCCAUUUCUUCCUACG